rnacentral:rRNA from 1 species
GACGAACGCUGGCGGCGUGCUUAACACAUGCAAGUCGUACGGUAAGGCCCUUUCGGGGGUACACGAGUGGCGAACGGGUGAGUAACACGUGCGUAACCUGCCCACAACUUUGGGAUAACGCUAGGAAACUGGUGCUAAUACUGGAUAUGUGCUCCUGCUGCAUGGUGGGGGUUGGAAAGCUCCGGCGGUUGUGGAUGGACUCGCGGCCUAUCAGCUUGUUGGUGGGGUAGUGGCCUACCAAGGCGGCGACGGGUAGCCGGCCUGAGAGGGUGACCGGCCACAUUGGGACUGAGAUACGGCCCAGACUCCUACGGGAGGCAGAAGGGGGGAAUAUUGAACAAUGGGCGCAAGCCUGAUGCAGCAACGCCGCGUGCGGGAUGACGGCCUUCGGGUUGUAAACCGCGUUCAGCAGGGACGAAGCUUUUUGUGACGGUACCUGCAGAAGAAGCACCGGCUAACUACGUG